UAUUUAGAAUGGUGCUGAUCUG
rnacentral:miRNA from 1 species